rnacentral:rRNA from 1 species
GACGAACGCUGGCGGCGUGCUUAACACAUGCAAGUCGAACGGAAAGGCCCUGCUUUUGUGGGGUGCUCGAGUGGCGAACGGGUGAGUAACACGUGAGUAACCUGCCCUUGACUUUGGGAUAACUUCAGGAAACUGGGGCUAAUACCGGAUAGGAGCUCCUGCUGCAUGGUGGGGGUUGGAAAGUUUCGGCGGUUGGGGAUGGACUCGCGGCUUAUCAGCUUGUUGGUGGGGUAGUGGCUUACCAAGGCUUUGACGGGUAGCCGGCCUGAGAGGGUGACCGGCCACAUUGGGCCUAGGAUACGGCCCAGACUCCUACGGGAGGCAGCAGUGGGGAAUAUUGCACAAUGGGCGGAAGCCUGAUGCAGCAACGCCGCGUGCGGGAUGACGGCCUUCGGGUUGUAAACCGCUUUCGCCUGUGACGAAGCGUGAGUGACGGUAAUGGGUAAAGAGGCACCGGCUAACUACGUG